AGUAAUUUAUCUCAUAUUAGAACAAUCCCAUAUCAAACAUGCAAAGCAGAAAACGGAGGGAGUAAUAUUUACAGGGUAUUUAUCACAUAUACCCCAUUUCAUAAAAGUUAUUGCAAUUUAUCACAUAUACCCCAUUUCAUAAAAGUUAUUGCAAUUAUAUGGCACUAGCAGAAUCAUUGCAUAUUUACGUCCUUUUCCAAAAAUAAUUGCAAGUUUCCCCUCUCUGUUUCUCCCGGUCUCUCUUCAUCUUCCUCAUUCAUAAAAUAUACCAUCGGCCGGCAGUUUCCACCACGAUCGCCGUAUCUUAUCUCACCGUCACGUUGUCACCUCCAUCUCCCUUCAACUUCCAUCACCGCCACAUCUCGAGACUGGCAAAAAAGAGAAGAUCGUGUUUGGACGACGACGGCGAAGAUCGGAAAAUCAUCGGGGGAGAUCUGGUGGCUGUAAUUGGUGUCGGUGGAUAUGUAGCUAUCUGGUGGUCGCACUGGUGUCAAUGGAGAUGGAGAUGUUCAUGUAUGGUGGGGGAGUGGCAGUAGUUGGAGGUGGUCAUGUCCUUCUGAUGUUUUAAUUGAUUUUUUGGUUGCAAUGUCUGUUGAUUUUGCUUUUAUGAUUGUAUUUGUGGUUGUUUUUGUGUUAUUGUUAUUGGCCCCGCAGGGGCAUUCUUUUUUUAGCCAUUUGCAACUAAUUGCAACUUAUUAUGGAACUGAACGUAAUUUUCAAAAGAUUUUUUUAAAGUUGCAUAUGUAGUUGCAAGUAUGGUUGCUCGUAGUUGCAGAUUUGGUUGCAUAUGCAAAAUCGUAUUUUUGCA
rnacentral:lncRNA from 1 species